ACUCCGGCUUGAGUGUUAAAUGGCCAGCAGGAAUUAUCCACUAGAGAAGCGGAAGGGAGAGAAUGGAAAUGGCCGCAUGCAGCUCCUCUCCCUCAGACAGCUCGGGGCUCAGCGGAAUGAGCACAGUCUGCAGGACAAGUGCGGAGGACUUCAGUCCCCUCUACUGUAUAUUGGCUUUAGGACUCAAGUUGUCCCUGAAAUAGAGGAAGGUGUUUUCUAGGGUAGUGGUAAUUAUCACAGUCAAAAAAGUAGGCGAGAGCACUUAGGAAAACUGUGCGGAGAUCGGCUGCUGAUGUGUAAAUACUGCUGAAGCUGCUUAUUCAAGAUUAGAAAACCUGAGACCCAGACGGGGGAAACUGCUUUCCAUGGUUAAUCGUCAACAACUGGCCAGGAUGGGACAGAAGCCCAUACAUAGCCUUCAUUCCAGGGCUCAGAACAAAAAGAAGGCAGUGGCCUGGGCUGCACCUGAGCUUGGCUUCACAUAGGAGGGAUUCUGGAACGCAGGAUCCUGACAACGACCUCAAGCCCCUGUAAAGCAACACAUUUUUUGGCAAGAAUCCCUGGGACAGAGAAAGAAUUUCUUCUCACUUAUUAUUGAGAAUGUUCUCAUGUCUUGCAAGGCUCACUGCCCAGUAGAAGCUGAAAAGAUUCAGUAUGAGUAAAAGAAGAGAUCUGAAAUUUGCAGCUUGUCAUAGAAAGAACUGAGACUACCAUACACCUAAGAAGUCAAAGUUGCUAUUCAAGGGGAAGUGCAAACACAAGAUGAGGGAAACUGAUGUAUUUAGUGUCUACAUUUUACAAAUGGAUGCUUUUCAUAAUAUGAAAAUACUGCACCAUAAGAUUGCCAGUCACAACAGCACGGCUACAGUGAAAAUGAUCCCAGUGGAUUUGUUACGGUGAGAAAGCUUCACUUGGAGACAAAGCCAAAACCUUCCUCCCAGGCUCCCUUGGAUGUAGGGGGAAGCAAACUGGCUGUCCAGGCCUCUGAGCCACAUCUACACACCUCAUGAGAGGGCCUGUGCAACAUUGCCUUAGAGAUGGAGAGCAUUGCUUCAGAAUCAGGGAAGCCUAAAUUUCACCCCUGGGGCUGCCCCUUGUGAUCUUGAAUGGCUCCUGACAAGAGGCUGCUGGGGAGGCUCCUGCUCCCUGCCUUUCGGGACUGCCGUGGAUUGCCCAUUGAUGGGUCAAAAUCCAGCUACCUGGUAAUUCAAUGAGUCCCUAGUGUGCAUCCAAUAAAUUAUCUUCUGUUUAAAUUAGAACAAACUGUUUUUAAUCUGUGUGCUAAGAAUCUCAUUAAAUGCAUCAUAAAUUUCAAAAUCAAAAACUAAAUAAAACAUUUAUCUA
rnacentral:lncRNA from 1 species